ACUUUACAUUCCAUCACCAGAGAGAGGCUAACAGGGCAUGAAUGUAAACAAAUAAUGUCUGACCUGAUAAGCCCUAGUGUGUUAAACUUACUGGGGAAAUCUCAUUUUUAUUCCACUCUGUUAUUCCAAUUCUAGAUAUAAUUAUACCAUUACUUUUCAUAAAAUACCUAAGGAUGUGAGUUUAACAAGGGAAAGGAUUGUGAAAAUAAGAUGGAUGAAAGAACAUUUCAAGAUCAAUAUUUUGCAAUAGUUGCUCGUUUUGAAGCAUUUCACACAAUAAGAUUAACAAUCAUGGACAUAAAUUCAUAUAUGUCUGAAGAGAACAGAUGUACCCUGUAGGUGGUUCGACUGGAGUAAUAAUCAACAGACCAGUAAGAUGAACACUAAAGAAGAAGAUUUCAUCACCAGAUGAAAGGAAUUCCACUGGUAACAGUCAUGAACACAAAUUGACAAUUGGUAUUUGAAUCGCCUUUAAUUGUCUCUUCAUGGCAGUGGCAAGAAACUAUCAAACAGUUCAAAGAAAAAUUACAGAAAACUAAGGAAGAAAACAAACAGUGAUAUUGAACGUUGGAUACAUACAAAUUUUCAAAUGCUGACAGUUGUAUAUUUUGUAAUGUUAUACAGGAUUUCCAACAAAAUUUACUAUAUAUUCAUUACAGUUUUCAAUAGGAAAAACAUUAAGAGCGUUUAUUAUGAUGCAAGCAAAACAAUCAGCUUGACUGGCGAAAUGUUUUUAGCAUAUUUUAAAGGACCAUUAUUUUGUUCAGUUUUGCGCCUUGAAUUUAAAUAAAAACUUUAAAAGAAAUCAUCGCAUUACUUUGUUUUUAACAUUAUACUUUGUUACAUAUAUGGUGCAGGGAAUAUGUCAACAUGUUUAUUACAUUUAAUAUUUUGUCCUCUUAUUGAGAGAAUAUGUCUUGGAAUGUUAUUAAAGAAGUGCUAAAACUCAUUGCUGCCUUUCCUAAUACCCUUCAACUGCAAGAUAUUGCGCAGGUUUUCUGCGAAUGUUCAGUCCCCUAUGUACAUGGAAUAUUUGGGGUUGGUGGGUUCAGGCAACAUCCUCUGGAAUUGCCGUGUUCCCUAAUGAUUUGUUAUAUACCAGCCAGUUAAGGGUUCCAACAAUAUGACCACAUAAUAAAAGUCGAACUAACUGGAAAAGUGCAAUAAUCUAAUGAUACUUGAGCUUUGUCUUAAGAUUUGACUGAUAUUUGCAAUCAAAUGAUUGUAUUUCGUUAUAUACUAAGUAUUUUAUACUGUAAUUAAUUAAAUAGUUGAUAAUAUAUAAGUUUUACGUUCCUUACUUAGCAUGAAAUGUAUUUUUACAUUGCUGUAAACAACAUCAUGUGUUAUGAUACUGAAAAUCCAUUGAAAUGUAUAAGACAGGGGUGUCAUGUUUAAACAAAAUAUCAUUUUGAUUUGAUAAGGCUGUCUGUAAAAUUAACCAGUUUCUAGAGAGUCAUACAGAUUUCUUUUGAUUUUAAAUACAAAGUGAAUAAAACUUUUUUAAACUUUUUUUUUCAAUAGCUAAAUUUAGGGGAAGUAUGGUACAGAAUUCAGCAUCCAACUGUUUACAUCUAUUAUCAGUUAAUUGCUUAAUACACUCUUGACCAACAUGUGUUGAGGUUAGCAAUAAAAUACUGAUAACGCAGAUAAUGUCUAUUUAAGUUGCAAAGGGUUUUAACCUGAUAUUUAUACUGACAAAGAAUAUUAGAAAUUACUUGGAAUUAUCAUAAACUUUAAUUGACUUAUCAGGUCUUGUAUGUCCUUCACUGUAUAAAGUGUAAAUUAAACCCAUUGUUGAUUUAUUUAUCUCCAGAAGAUAUUUUUUAAUAUUAAAUAUAGUACUCAACAAGUAUGUAGCAAACAGAACAUUAUCAAGAUCUCUGACACUGUAGAAAAAUCUUUCGGCGGCCAUAUAUUCGUUAUAUGUUUACAUAGAGCAGAUACCGCAGCUUGCCCUGUUAGCCUCCUUCUGAGAAAUCUAUGAAUAUGUAUGAGGUAAUAUUAAGAAGG